ensembl:lncRNA
CUGGUUUCCCCUAAGUUUCAGCAGAAAAAAAUAGGCAAGAUAAAAAUUGAGAGAUCAUUAUCCACUGAUUCUUCCCAGUCAUAAUAGGCUGCUUAGCUUUACCAGGUCAGAAGGGGCCUAGUAUGACAUAUAUAUAUAUUAAAGAAAGAAACAUAGAUGUACAUAUCAAAGACUGACAAGAAAAAAAAAAAAAAGGAAAAGAAAAUACAAUUCUUCUGACCUUAAGGUUAUAUACAACAUCAUAGGAGAUUCCUUACAUCCUCAAUCUAUUAAGUGGUACUGCAUACAGUGAUAGAAGAAAACUGCUGCCUCUGAGAAGAGAUGAAAAACACAGCAAAGCUCCUGCAGAGUAACCCUGAAAUGGUAACAGAAGCAGACUGUGAAGGGAGUCCCUACUGAGAUCUUUUGAUUAACCUUGCUAUGAUGGCUGGAGAAAUGUCCCUGGACACCGCCUCCCAGAUGUUUCUUCAGACUCACAGCCAAGAAAACACUUGUGAGAGCCACAGGAGAUAUCACAUUAAUCUACUUUUAAUCAGACUCCUUUGUUGCUGAGUCUGUGCUUUUGGUGCGUAGCGUCCACCCCAGGUGUGCAUCUCUGGGGAGCACUGCACAUCCCACGCUGAGGGCUCAGCUGACACGUGCAGAUGUGGAAGCAGAUACUUCUCUGAGACAGCCCUGGGGUGAAUGUGCAGCACUGCUAUAAGGAGGGGUUGGCAGGUGGUACCCACUGCGAUCAGCCUGGUCCUCUUCACAAAGACACCUCUUUCCCAGCAGUGAUGUCCUGCUGUCCCAAUGCCCUGUCCUGAGGUCUGGAUGUGGCAAUGGUCAGUACCUUCUGACGCACCUGAUCAUGUCUAAAACCUGAAAAAAUGGAUAUUCCUUUCCUUCACAGAAAACCUCUUCCUGUUUCAACUUCCCUUGUGAGAGCUCCUUCCCAAAUAGCCAGCUCAGCUCUCCCUGCAAUAACUACACAGCACAGCUCAAGAAGAGAUUAACACAAAUCUGCUGAAAGUGAAUUCAGCCUCUCCUUUCAAUGGGAUCGUUGUAACACUGUUUGUUGCGUUACCUGAGCCAGACCUCAAGUUUCACAUAACAGAGAAAAAAAACACUGUAAUUCUUGGAGGACAGAUGCCAGGGAUCCAUCUGCCCUUUGCCUGUCCUUGUGCUGCCCUCCAUCCUAGAAGAGAUGACACAAGACCCAUGUGUUGAAAGCAAAGCCACAGCAGAGUGACUUUCAGGUGCUGUAUGAAGUUUGAGAGCUGUGAACUGUGCCCUUCCUAAUUCCCACACUAGCAAGAAGCAGCAUGACCUGAAUGUCCCCACGCCUCAGAGAUCAUCAGCCUGGCAUGACCUCUGGGAGCAUGCAAAACUGAAUGGAAUUUAGAGAAACCCAGAGUUUUCUCUAGGAUGUACCUCAGCAUUAACUCAAGGAGUAUGGAGAUAUUAAGAUGAUUUAAGGGAAAGAUGUUUUCUCUGUCCCAUCAGUUAUUCUGGACUCGCAGUUGAGACUCCUGCUGCAGAAUUCCAAAUCAGGGCAGUCAGUCCCAAUGCAGUGAUUUAUAACACAAAGGCAACAUACGUGCUAUUAAUAAAAACACCCUAUUUACAUUUCAUUGAGCUGCUGCAGGACAAUACCUUCACCAAAUACAGCAGGCAUCCUACAUUUCUGAUACCUCCUCUCCAACUAAUAGGAAAAUGUGAGAUAUGGGACAACACUAUUCUGAAGAGGACUAAAUCCUGGAGAAAAUAUUUGUGUUGCAACUAUAAAUGCAGAGAGAAAAGAAACACUCAGCUUUCUUCCAAACUUUAAUCCAGCUCUCCUCUUGGGAGUCCUCUCUACUUAUUCCUACUGGAAGCGAUGUGAGGGCUGCAUAGUGUAGGGAGGUCAAUAAAGAACUCAUUCCUCAUGAAGCUUCUGGUACCACCUAGAAAGAGAACUUUAUCACUGCUUUAGGAAGUCUGACUAAAUGUCCUUCAUAACUACAGCAUGAGAAGAAGCAUCACAAGAGCCUGUGAAAUACAACAAAUAUGGCAGGCUAAAUUAAUAAUCUUGAUGCUAGAAUAUGAAAUGACUUGUUUAAUAAAAUGUUCAAUGUCUGCUCCUUUA